ACGCUGGCGGCGUGCUUAACACAUGCAAGCGGAACGGGAAUUACUUUAUUGAAACUUCGGUCGAUUUAAUUUAAUUCUAGUGGCGGACGGGUGAGUAACGCGUGGGUAACCUGCCUUGUACAGGGGGAUAACAGUCAGAGAUGACUGCUAAUACCGCAUAAGCGCACAGGACCGCAUGGUCCGGUGUGAAAAACUCCGGUGGUAUAAGAUGGACCCGCGUUGGAUUAGCUUGUUGGUGGGGUAACGGCCCACCAAGGCGACGAUCCAUAGCCGGCCUGAGAGGGUGAACGGCCACAUUGGGACUGAGACACGGCCCAGACUCCUACGGGAGGCAGCAGUGGGGAAUAUUGCACAAUGGGGGAAACCCUGAUGCAGCGACGCCGCGUGAAGGAAGAAGUAUCUCGGUAUGUAAACUUCUAUCAGCAGGGAAGAAAAUGACGGUACCUGACUAAGAAGCCCCGGCUAACUACGUGCCAGCAGCCGCGGUAAUACGUAGGGGGCAAGCGUUAUCCGGAUUUACUGGGUGUAAAGGGAGCGUAGACGGAUGGACAAGUCUGAUGUGAAAGGCUGGGGCUCAACCCCGGGACUGCAUUGGAAACUGCCCGUCUUGAGUGCCGGAGAGGUAAGCGGAAUUCCUAGUGUAGCGGUGAAAUGCGUAGAUAUUAGGAGGAACACCAGUGGCGAAGGCGGCUUACUGGACGGUAACUGACGUUGAG
rnacentral:rRNA from 1 species